rnacentral:rRNA from 1 species
AUUGAACGCUGGCGGCAGGCCUAACACAUGCAAGUCGAGCGGAUGAAGGGAGCUUGCUCCUGGAUUCAGCGGCGGACGGGUGAGUAAUGCCUAGGAAUCUGCCUGGUAGUGGGGGAUAACGUCCGGAAACGGGCGCUAAUACCGCAUACGUCCUGAGGGAGAAAGUGGGGGAUCUUCGGACCUCACGCUAUCAGAUGAGCCUAGGUCGGAUUAGCUAGUUGGUGGGGUAAAGGCCUACCAAGGCGACGAUCCGUAGCUGGUCUGAGAGGAUGAUCAGUCACACGGGAGCUGAGACACGGUCCAGACUCCUACGGGAGGCAGCAGUGGGGAAUAUUGGACAAUGGGCGAAAGCCUGAUCCAGCCAUGCGGCGUGUGUGAAGAAGGUCUUCGGAUUGUAAAGCACUUUAAGUUGGGAGGAAGGGCAGUAAGUUAAUACCUUGCUGUUUUGACGUUACCAACAGAAUAAGCACCGGCUAACUUCGUG